GACAGAGGGUGCAAACGUUGCUCGGAAUCACUGGGCGUAAAGGGCGUGUAGGCGGGAAGGAAAGUCAGAUGUGAAAUCCCUGGGCUCAACCCAGGAACUGCAUUUGAAACUCCCUUUCUUAAGUGUCGAAGAGGAAAGUGGAAUUCCUGGUGUAGAGGUGAAAUUCGUAGAUAUCAGGAGGAACACCAGUGGCGAAGGCGGCUUUCUGGACGACAACUGACGCUAAGACGCGAAAGCGUGGGGAGCAAACAGG
rnacentral:rRNA from 1 species